rnacentral:rRNA from 1 species
GACGAACGCUGGCGGCGUGCUUAACACAUGCAAGUCGAACGGUGAAGGGACCGGUUUUUGCUGGUUCUGGAUGAGUGGCGAACGGGUGAGUAACACGUGAGUAACCUGCCCCCUUCUUCUGGAUAACCGCAUGAAAGUGUGGCUAAUACGGGAUAUUCUGCGCCUGCUGCAUGGUGGGUGUGGGAAAGAUAUUGUUUCGGUGGGGGAUGGGCUCGCGGCCUAUCAGCUUGUUGGUGGGGUGAUGGCCUACCAAGGCGGUGACGGGUAGCCGGCCUGAGAGGGUAGACGGUCACACUGGGACUGAGACACCGCCCAGACUCCUACGGGAGGCAGCAGUGGGGAAUAUUGCACAAUGGGCGCAAGCCUGAUGCAGCGACGCCGCGUGAGGGAUGGAGGCCUUCGGGUUGUAAACCUCUUUCGCCAGUGAAGCAGGCCUGUCCCUUUUGUGGGUGGGUUGACGGUAGCUGGAGAAGAAGCGCCGGCUAACUACGUG